UGGAGAGCGGCGGACGGGUGAGUAAUGCCUAGGAAUCUGCCUGGUAGUGGGGGAUAACGUUCGGAAACGGACGCUAAUACCGCAUACGUCCUACGGGAGAAAGCAGGGGACCUUCGGGCCUUGCGCUAUCAGAUGAGCCUAGGUCGGAUUAGCUAGUUGGUGAGGUAAUGGCUCACCAAGGCGACGAUCCGUAACUGGUCUGAGAGGAUGAUCAGUCACACUGGAACUGAGACACGGUCCAGACUCCUACGGGAGGCAGCAGUGGGGAAUAUUGGACAAUGGGCGAAAGCCUGAUCCAGCCAUGCCGCGUGUGUGAAGAAGGUCUUCGGAUUGUAAAGCACUUUAAGUUGGGAGGAAGGGUUGUAGAUUAAUACUCUGCAAUUUUGACGUUACCGACAGAAUAAGCACCGGCUAACUCUGUGCCAGCAGCCGCGGUAAUACAGAGGGUGCAAGCGUUAAUCGGAAUUACUGGGCGUAAAGCGCGCGUAGGUGGUUCGUUAAGUUGGAUGUGAAAGCCCCGGGCUCAACCUGGGAACUGCAUUCAAAACUGACGAGCUAGAGUAUGGUAGAGGGUGGGUGGAAUUUCCUGUGUAGCGGUGAAAUGCGUAGAUAUAGGAAGGAACACCAGUGGCGAAGGCGACCACCUGGACUGAUACUGACACUGAGGUGCGAAAGCGUGGGGAGCAAACAGGAU
rnacentral:rRNA from 1 species